rnacentral:rRNA from 1 species
CCUACGAGAGGCAGCAGUGAGGAAUAUUGGUCAAUGGGCGCGAGCCUGAACCAGCCAAGUCGCGUGAGGGAAGACGGCCCUACGGGUUGUAAACCUCUUUUGCCGGGGAGCAACGGGCGCCACGUGUGGCGCCCCUGAGAGUCCCCGGAGAAAAAGCAUCGGCUAACUCCGUGCCAGCAGCCGCGGUCAUCCGGAGGAUGCGAGCGUUCUCCGGAUUUAAUGGGUUUAAAGGGUGCGUAGGCGGCGCGUUAAGUCAGUGGUCAAAUUGAGGGGCUCAACCCCUUCCCGCCAUUGAAACUGGCGGGCUUGAGUGGAAGAGAAGUAUGCGGAAUGCGUGGUGUAGCGGUGAAAUGCAUAGAGAUCACGCAGAACCCCGAUUGCGAAGGCAGCAUGCCGGCUUCCGACUGACGCUGAAGCACGAAAGCGUGGGGAUCGAACAGGAUUAGAUACCCCGGUAGUC